rnacentral:rRNA from 1 species
GGUGAAACCUAAUUGGCCUGAAGAAGAGCUUGCGUCUGAUUAGCUAGUUGGUGGGGUAAGAGCCUACCAAGGCGACGAUCAGUAGCUGGUCUGAGAGGAUGAGCAGCCACACUGGGACUGAGACACGGCCCAGACUCCUACGGGAGGCAGCAGUGGGGAAUUUUCCGCAAUGGGCGAAAGCCUGACGGAGCAACGCCGCGUGAGGGAGGAAGGUCUUUGGAUUGUAAACCUCUUUUCUCAAGGAAGAAGUUCUGACGGUACUUGAGGAAUCAGCCUCGGCUAACUCCGUGCCAGCAGCCGCGGUAAUACGGGGGAGGCAAGCGUUAUCCGGAAUUAUUGGGCGUAAAGCGUCCGCAGGUGGUCAGCCAAGUCUGCCGUCAAAUCAGGUUGCUUAACGACCUAAAGGCGGUGGAAACUGGCAGACUAGAGAUCAGUAGGGGUAGCARGAAUUCCCAGUGUAGCGGUGAAAUGCGUAGAGAUUGGGAAGAACAUCGGUGG